ACCUUUUUUUCGCUUUCAAUAUCUGAUAAGCCUUAAAACGAUAUACAGUACAUGCAGAAAAACAUGCUUGCUCAAUUGAUCUAAUAUAAGAUGUAGUUAACUUUUUUGGUGUCAACUGACGUUUUCAUUCGCCUUUCGCAGGGAUAACAUGCCUGACUCUAAGAAAAAAUUGCUUUCCGAAAUAACAUCGACUAUUGAAAAACUGAUGAUCAGAACUACUGUAUAGUCCCAAUCUCGCUCGUUAUUCUCCAGGAUCUUCAUAUACUCCACGGUCGUUCAUUAUUUAUUCUUGCGUUUGGAACACAAGAACUGAAAACUGUGUAACAAUUUUAAUUGCUCAGGAAUGGCGCCGAAAACAUAUACCGUAAACCUCCAAAUAUAAGCCCCC